rnacentral:lncRNA from 1 species
AUGCUAAGCACUAGGGAAACCAACCUGAAAAGAAAGAGGAAGGAAGGAAGGCAGGAAGGAAGGAGGGAGGGAGGAAGCAGGAAGGAAGGAGGGAAGGAGGGAAGGAAGGAAGGAAGGAAGGAGGAAGGAAGGAAGGAAGGAGGAAGGAAGGAAGGAGGAAGGAAGGAAGGAAGGAGGAAGGAAGGAAGGAGGGAGGGAGGGGGGAAGGAAGGAAGGAAGGAAGGAAGGAAGGAGGAAGGAAGGAAGGAAGAAGGAAGGAAGGAGGGAGGGAGGAGGGAGGGAGGAGGGAGGAGGAGGGAGGAAGGAAGGAGGAAGGAAGGAAGGAAGGAAGGAGGGAGGGAGGAGGGAGGAAGGAAGGAGGGAAGGAGGGAGGGAGGAGGGAGGGAGGAGGAAGGAAGGAGGAGGAAGGAAGGAAGGAAGGAAGGAAGGAGGAAGGAAGGAAGGAGGAAGGAAGGAAGGAGGGAAGGGAGGGAGGGAGGGAGGGAGGAAGGAAGGACGGAAGGAAGGAAGGAAGGAAGGAAGGAAGGAAGGAAGAAGGAGGGAGGAGGAGGGAGGGAGGGAGGGAGGGGGGAAGGAAGGAAGGAGGAAGGAGGGAGGGAGGGAGGAAGGAAGGAAGAAGGAAGGAAGGAAGGAAGGAAGAAGGAGGGAGGAAGGAAGGAGGAAGGAGGAAGGAGGAAGGAAGGAAGGAAGGAAGGAAGGAAGGAAGGAAGGAAGGAAGGAAGGAGGAAGGAGGAAGGAGGAAGGAAGGAAGGAAGGAAGGAAGAAGGAGGGAGGAAGGAAGGAAGGAGAAGGAAGGAAGGAGGAAGGAAGGAAGGAAGGAAGGAAGGAAGGAAGAAGGAAGGAAGGAAGGAAGAAGGAGGGAGGGAGGGAGGAAGGAAGGAAGAAGGAAGGAAGAGGAAGGAAGGAAGGAAGGAAGGAAGGAGGAAGGAGGAAGGAAGGAAGGAAGGAAGGAAGGAAGGAAGGAAGGAAGGAAGGGAGGGAGGGAGGGAGGGAGGAGGGAGGAAGAGAGGACGGAAGGAAGGAAAGGAGGGAGGGAGGCGGAGGGCCAGCCCCCGCCCAGGCUCCCUCCCUCUGAGCGCGGCCCAGCUUGAUGGAGGGCGUGUGGCGUGGGAGGCAGGCUAUCACAGUCCGGCCGGGAGGUGCCGGGCAGACAGCAGCCACGGCCAGAGGAAUGACUCGGGGUGGCACAGAGGGAACACAGGACCGCAAGGAGCAAUGGUGGGGGUCCCAGAGGGUGGUACCCGGGGAGGAGGGGCCAGCCAGGGCACGGAGGGGCGGGGGUGUCCCCGGAGGGGGCCUCCCGGGAAAGCAAACGUGGGAGACGGCGAUGGGGCCGGGGCCGGCCUCGACGCGGAUGUCCACCCGCAGCCCGGCCUCUCCCGGCCCUGA